rnacentral:lncRNA from 1 species
UCCCAAGUGACUUGGACUUUCUCACCACUUUUUAGGUGAACUGGUUCAGUGCCAGUGAGAUCAAUCUCCUCUCUCUUCAAAUACUGGCCUGUUGUUCUUAGUCUGAACGUCUGAUUCUUGAUAAGACCUUGAACCAAAAGCUUAUGGAAAGGCUCCUUGUGUUUGGUCAUCUUUAGAUCAUGGCAAAAAUGGCUGAAAAACCUAGCAUAGAAUAAGUGCAUAACUGCGUGCUCCUUGCCUCCAAUGUACAAAUCCACAGGCAUCCAGUAGUCAGCCAAGUCACAAUUAAAGGGCCUGUCAGUGUUGUGAGGAUCUGUGUAUCUCAGGUAAUACCAAGCAGAAUCCACAAAUGUAUCCAUGGUAUCAAUUUCUCGCCUAGCUUCUGCCUUACAUCUUGGACAAGCACAAUUCACCCAUUCUGGAACAGUUUCUAAAGGUGAGGCUCCCUUCCCUGUAAAAGUGGUUACAUUGGGCAGCACCACAGGUAAGUCUUCAUAAGGCACCGGAACAGUGCCACAUGUUUGGCAGUGGAUAACAGGAAUAGGUGUUCCCCAGUACCGCUGUCGAGAUAUUAAC